rnacentral:rRNA from 2 species
UCUAGUGAUGAUGGCAAAGAGGUCACACCCGUUCCCAUGUCGAACACGGAAGUUAAGCUCUUUAGCGCCGAUGGUAGUUGGGGGUUUCCCCCUGUGAGAGUAGGACGUUGCUAGGC